UUACCUGGUGAAAGAAGAGAAAGUUAGUGUCUCUCCUGACAGGGAUGGAAAAGGCCCUGGGGCCUAAUAGCACCCAUAGGGUUAAAAAAUCAAACUCUCAUAUAUUU
rnacentral:ncRNA from 1 species